AUUGAACGCUGGCGGUAUGCUUAACACAUGCAAGUCGAACGGAAACGACAUAAUUGAUCCUUCGGGUGAUUUUAUGGGCGUCGAGUGGCGGACGGGUGAGUAAUACAUAGGAAUCUACCUAGUAGUGGGGGGCAACCUGGGGAAACUCAAGCUAAUACCGCAUAAUUCCUACGAGAAAGAGGGCCUAUACUUUUAAUCUCUUGCUAUUGGAUGAGCCUAUGUCGGAUUAGUUAGUUGGUGAGGUAAUGGCUUACCAAGACUACAAUCCGUAGCUGGUUUGAGAGGAUGAUCAGCCACACUGGGACUGAGACACGGCCCAGACUCCUACGGGAGGCAGCAGUAGGGAGUAUUGGACAAUGGGCGCAAGCCUGAUCCAGCAAUGCCGCGUGUGUGAAGAAGGCCUGCGGGUUGUAAAGCACUUUCAAUUGGGAAGAAAGAUUUAGAGUUAAUACCUCUUAAUAUUGACGUUACCAAUAGAAGAAGCACCGGCUAACUCUGUGCCAGCAGCCGCGGUAAUACGGAGGGUGCAAGCGUUGUUCGGAAUCACUGGGCGUAAAGGGCGCGUAGGCGGCCAAGCAAGUCAGAUGUGAAAGCCCACGGCUCAACCUAGGAACUGCAUUCAAAACUGUCAGGCUAGAGUAUGGUAGAGGAUAGUGGAAUUUCCGGUGUAGCGGUGAAAUGCAUAGAGAUCUGAAGGAACACCAGUGGCGAAGGCGGCUCUCUGGACCAAUACUGACGCUGAGGUGCGAAAGCGUGGGUAGCAAACGGGAUUAGAUACCCCGGUAGUCCACGCCGUAAACGAUGUCAACUAACUGUUGGGCGGGUUUCCGCUUAGAGUGGUGCAGCUAACACAAUAAGUUGACCGCCUGGGGAGUACGGCCGCAAGGCUAAAACUCAAAUGAAUUGACGGGGGCCCGCACAAGCGGUGGAGCAUGUGGUUUAAUUCGAUGCAACGCGAAGAACCUUACCUACCCUUGACAGCCACAGAAUCUGUUAGAGAUGGAUUGGUGCCUUCGGGAGGUCUGAUACAGGUGCUGCUUGGCUGUCGUCAGCCCGUGUCGUGAGAUGUUGGGUUACGUCCCAUAACGAGCGCAAACCCUUGUCCUUAGUUGCUAGCCUUAAGUUGGGCAGUCUAAGGAGACUGCCGGUGACAAACCGGAGGAAGGUGGGGACGACGUCAAGUCAUCAUGGCCCUUACGAGUAGGGCUACACACGUGCUACAAUGGUGAGUACAGAGGGAAGCAAACUUGCGAGAGUAAGCGGAUCCCUUAAAGCUCAUCGUAGUCCGGAUCGGAGUCUGCAACUCGACUCCGUGAAGUCGGAAUCGCUAGUAAUCGCAAAUCAGAAUGUUGCGGUGAAUACGUUCCCGGGCCUUGUACACACCGCCCGUCACACCAUGGGAGUGGGCUGUACCAGAAGUAGGUAGCUUAACUUCGUGAGAGCGCUUACCACGGUAUGGUUCAUGACUGGGGUG
rnacentral:rRNA from 1 species